AACCCUCGCCUCUAGUUGCCAGCAUCGGUUGGGGCACUCUAGAGGGACUGCCGGCGACAAGUCGGAGGAAGGUGGGGAUGACGUCAAAUCAUCAUGCCCCUUAUGACCUGGGCUACACACGUGCUACAAUGGGCGGUACAAAGGGCUGCGAACCCGCGAGGGGGAGCGAAUCCCAAAAAGCCGCUCUCAGUUCGGAUUGCAGGCUGCAACUCGCCUGCAUGAAGCCGGAAUCGCUAGUAAUCGCGGAUCAGCAUGCCGCGGUGAAUACGUUCCCGGGCCUU
rnacentral:rRNA from 1 species